GACAGCCAGGAUGUUGGCUUAGAAGCAGCCACCAUUUAAAAAGUGCGUAACAGCUUACUGGCCAAGCAGUUCUGCGCCGAUAAUGAACGGGAGUAAGUUCGACACCGAAGCAGUGGAAUCCGAAAGGAUUGGUAGGAGAGCGCUGAAGAUCAGACACGAGCCGUACCGUAAGGAGCGGUGGAGGGGUCUUCAGGUGCUUAUGCCGGAAUGAGUAACGAUAAGGCAGGUGAGAAUCCUGCCCGCCGAAAGCCUAAGGUUUCCUGGGGAAGGUAAUUCCGCCCAGGGUUAGCCGGUACCUUAGUCGAGGCCGAAAGGCGUAGACGAUGGAUAGCAGGUCAACAUUCCUGCGCCACUAUAGUGGACCGAUGGAGGGACGGCGUCUGGAUGGUGAGCCGUACGAGUAGAAACGUCGGUAGACCAAUCUGCGGUGUGGGAUAGGCAAAUCCGCCCACGCAAGCCAAGGGUUGGGCUCGAGCGCAUUUACGUUCGUGAAGUCAUCUGAAGGGCGUCCAAGAAAAGCUCCUAAGGGUUGAAACUAUAGUGACCGUACUAAAACUGACACAGGUAGGCGAGACGAGUAGUCUAAGGCGCUCGGGAGAACACUGGUUAAGGAACUCUGCAACAUGACCCCGUAACUUCGGGAUAAGGGGUGCCUUCGAGGGUUAACGCUCUUGGAGGCCACAGUAAAUCGAGAGCUGCGACUGUUUAUCAAAAACACAGGACUCUGCCAACUCGCAAGAGGAUGUAUAGAGUCUGACGCCUGCCCGGUGCCGGUAGGUUAAGGAAGAGGGUUAGCCGCAAGGUGAAGCCCGCGACCGAAGCCCCGGUAAACGGCGGCCGUAACUAUGACGGUCCUAAGGUAGCGAAGUUCCUUGUCGGGUAAGUUCCGACCUGCAUGAAUGGCGUAACGACAGCUCUACUGUCUCAACCAGUGACCCGGUGAAAUUGUAGCCGUGGUGAAGAUGCCACGUUCCCGUAGCUAGACGGAAAGACCCCAUGAACCUUUACUGUAGGCUGGUAUUGGGCUGUGAUAUGUUCUGUGUAGGAUAGGUGGGAGGCGUUGAAGCCGGUACGCCAGUAUCGGUGGAGCCAACCUUGAAAUACCACCCUGGGCAUAUUUUAGUUCUAACGCUGUCCCGUGAAUCCGGGCAGCGGACAUUUCCAGUUGGGCAGUUUGACUGGGGCGGUCUCCUCCAAAAAGGUAACGGAGGAGUUCAAAGGUACCCUCAGCCUGGUUGGCAAUCAGGCGUCGAGCG
rnacentral:rRNA from 1 species